rnacentral:miRNA from 1 species
GUCCUAUCUCUCCUGAACUGAAACACAAUAAAUUGUGUUUCAGUUCAGGAGAGAUAGGAC